rnacentral:rRNA from 1 species
GACGAACGCUGGCGGCGUGCCUAAUACAUGCAAGUUGAGCGCUGAAGGUUGGUACUUGUACCGACUGGAUGAGCAGCGAACGGGUGAGUAACGCGUGGGGAAUCUGCCUUUGAGCGGGGGACAACAUUUGGAAACGAAUGCUAAUACCGCAUAAAAACUUUAAACACAAGUUUUAAGUUUGAAAGAUGCAAUUGCAUCACUCAAAGAUGAUCCCGCGUUGUAUUAGCUAGUUGGUGAGGUAAAGGCUCACCAAGGCGAUGAUACCUAGCCGACCUGAGAGGGUGAUCGGCCACAUUGGGACUGAGACACGGCCCAAACUCCUACGGGAGGCAGCAGUAGGGAAUCUUCGGCAAUGGACGAAAGUCUGACCGAGCAACGCCGCGUGAGUGAAGAAGGUUUUCGGAUCGUAAAACUCUGUUGGUAGAGAAGAACGUUGGUGAGAGUGGAAAGCUCAUCAAGUGACGGUAACUACCCAGAAAGGGACGGCUAACUACGUG